rnacentral:tRNA from 1 species
GGAUCUUAUAUCUGGUGUAGUUGGUUAUCACAUGCGCUUAGCAUGCGCGAGGUCCCCGGUUCGAUUCCGGUGUCGUCCA